GAACAAUAUAUGUAAACUGGAUAAAAACUUUAAACUUUUAAAAUAUUUAACUUCAAUAACAAAGGCUAUAAAAAAAGAAAAUAAGUAAAAUAAUCCAUAAAAUAAUCCAAUUAUUUACUAUAUUUACGAAAUUUUAUAAAAUUAAAAUGAGGAGAAAACUUUUUCUAACUAUCAUUUAAAUGUGUGCAUGCAUAUGUGUGCGUAUGAGUGUGUGAAGCCCAGCAUGUAUAUGCCAUGAGCCAUAUACCUCCACUUAACAAGAUUGGUCCUAGUUGCCGCAUUAGCCAUUAGGGUCAAGCAUCCAUAUAAUUAGGUAAAAUUGCUGCCUAUAUCCUAGGCUCCAGUUAGACAAGUAGAG
rnacentral:misc_RNA from 1 species